rnacentral:rRNA from 1 species
CGAUGUUCAGGUCAUCACUGUGAAGUAACCUUGCACAAGGUUUGUUCUGAAAAAAGUGAUGGAAGCUGCCCUCGACAUAUAUGUUUUCACUGCAAAAGGAGAACAACUUGGCACCGGUUGAAACAUGUAAUGCCUGCAUGUGCACAGUGUUCGCUGCAUCAAAACAGAAUGGCUGAAUCUGUUGAUCCUUCAAAGCUAAUGAAAAGUUGGAGUAUUUGGCCAUCAACGAUUGAGGGUGCAGGUCCAGCAUAUGACAUUGAGGAAGCCUUCCGGCGAUUACCUCUCCCGUAUGCUGAUCAAGAGUUCAAUAUUGACCCUAUUAAGGAGGAGUUGGAAAGUGUGACAAAACCACCUCCAUAUGUACAUUUGAAGCAUAAUGUAUAUUUCGUCAAGAAGAAAUGUGAUGGUGAUGCCAUUGAAGCUAAAUGCAGUGAUUGUGACCCUCCUCUGACCUGUCAAAUAAGAUGCUCGUGCAGGUCUGUGUCCAUUAGCUGCUCUCAGGCUUGCAAGUGCUCAAAUAAGUGCACUAACAGACCAUUUCGCAGAGAGAAAAGGAUCGGGGUUGUUAAGACACAACAUUGUGGAUGGGGUGCCAUAGCAUUGGAAACCAUCGAGGAAGGUGAUUUUGUGAUAGAGUUUGUUGGAGAAGUUAUAGAUGGCGCGAGAUGUGAAGAAAGGCUUCAAGACAUGAGACAGCGCCGAGAUAAAAAUUUCUACAUGUGUAAAGUCAACAACAACUUUAUAAUAGAUGCAACAUUCAGAGGAAAUGAUUGCCGCUUUUUUAACCACAGCUGCAGACCUAACUGUCAGUUGGAAAAUUGGCAAGUUAGUGGCAAGACAAGGCUAGGUGUGUUUUCUUUACAGGGUAUACGAGUGGGUGAGCCCUUGACCUACAAUUACAGCUUCGAACAACAUUUUGGUCCACAGACAGAAUGUUUCUGUGGUGCUGAAAACUGCCGAGGGAAGCUGUGA